UACGUAGGGGGCAAGCGUUGUCCGGAAUUACUGGGCGUAAAGCGCGUGUAGGCGGCUCGGCAAGUCGGGUGUGAAAGCCCUGGGCUUAACCUAGGAAGUGCACUCGAAACUGCCAAGCUUGAGUUCUGGAGAGGAAGGCGGAAUUCUCGGUGUAGAGGUGAAAUUCGUAGAUAUCGAGAGGAACACCGGUGGCGAAGGCGGCGAUCUGGACGGUGACUGACGCUGAGACGCGAAAGCGUGGGGAGCAAACAGG
rnacentral:rRNA from 1 species